CCCUGAGAGUCCUGAAGGAACGUUGAAGACUACGACGUUGAUAGGUCGGGUGUGUAAGCGCAGCGAUGCGUUGAGCUAACCGAUACUAAUGAACCGUGAGGCUUAACCUU
rnacentral:rRNA from 1 species